rnacentral:rRNA from 1 species
AUGCAGUCGAGGGGCAGCGAGGGCGUAGCAAUACGCCUGUCGGCGACCGGCGCACUGGUGAGUAACACGUAUGCGACCUGCCCCCUACAGGGGUAUAACCCGUAGAAAUGCGGACUAAUCCCCCAUAGUCCUGGGUGCUGCAUGGCAUUCAGGGGAAAGGUCAGCCGGUAGGGGAUGGGCAUGCGGCGCAUUAGCUAGUUGGCGGGGCAACGGCCCACCAAGGCGACGAUGCGUAGGGGUUCUGAGAGGAAGGUCCCCCACACCGGUACUGAGACACGGACCAGACUCCUACGGGAGGCAGCAGUGAGGAAUAUUGGUCAAUGGGCGCAGGCCUGGACCAGCCAAGUCGCGUGAGGGAAGACGGUCCUACGGAUUGUAAACCUCUUUUGUCGGGGAGUAACGUGCGGGACGGGUCCCGUAUUGAGAGUACCCGAAGAAAAAGCAUCGGCUAACUCCGUGCCAGCAGCCGCGGUAAUACGGAGGAUGCGAGCGUUAUCCGGAUUUAUUGGGUUUAAAGGGUGCGCAGGCGGCGCGCCAAGUCAGCGGUCAAAGUUCCGGGCUCAACCCGGUGUCGCCGUUGAAACUGGCGUGCUCGAGUGCGUGCGAGGAAGGCGGAAUGCGUUGUGUAGCGGUGAAAUGCAUAGAUAUGACGCAGAACUCCGAUUGCGAAGGCAGCUUUCCAGCGCGCUACUGACGCUGAGGCACGAAAGCGUGGGGAUCGAACAGGAUUAGAUACCCUGGUAGUCCACGCAGUAAACGAUGACUACUAGCUUUCCGGGGCGACUGGGCCCUGGGAGGCACAGCGAAAGCGUUAAGUAGUCCACCUGGGGA